rnacentral:rRNA from 1 species
UACGGAGGGUGCAAGCGUUAUCCGGAUUUAUUGGGUUUAAAGGGUGCGUAGGCGGCUUUAUAAGUCUGGGGUUAAAGGCGGCAGCUUAACUGUACGCAUGCCUUGGAAACUGUGAGGCUUGAGUGACUUGGAGGUAGCUGGAAUUCCCUGUGUAGCGGUGAAAUGCAUAGAUACGGGGAGGAAUACCGAUUGCGAAGGCAUGUUACUACGAGUAAACUGACGCUGAUGCACGAAAGCGUGGGGAUCAAACAGG